GACGAACGCUGGCGGCGUGCUUAACACAUGCAAGUCGAACGGAAAGGCCCUGCUUUUGUGGGGUGCUCGAGUGGCGAACGGGUGAGUAACACGUGAGUAACCUGCCCUUGACUUUGGGAUAACUUCAGGAAACUGGGGCUAAUACCGGAUAGGAGCUCCUGCUGCAUGGGGGGGGUUGGAAAGUUUCGGCGGUUGGGGAUGGACUCGCGGCUUAUCAGCUUGUUGGUGGGGUAGUGGCUUACCAAGGCUUUGACGGGUAGCCGGCCUGAGAGGGUGACCGGCCACAUUGGGACUGAGAUACGGCCCAGACUCCUACGGGAGGCAGCAGUGGGGAAUAUUGCACAAUGGGCGGAAGCCUGAUGCAGCAACGCCGCGUGCGGGAUGACGGCCUUCGGGUUGUAAACCGAUUUCGCCUGUGACGAAGCGUGAGUGACGGUAAUGGGUAAAGAAGCACCGGCUAACUACGUG
rnacentral:rRNA from 1 species